GAUGAACGCUGGCGGCGUGCCUAAUACAUGCCAGUCGAGCGAACAGAUGAGGAGCUUGCUCCUCUGACGUUAGCGGCGGACGGGUGAGUUACACGUGGAUAACCUACCUAUAAGACUGGGAUAACUUCGGGAAACCGGAGCUAAUACCGGAUAAUAUAUUGAACCGCAUGGUUCAAUAGUGAAAGACGGUUUUGCUGUCACUUAUAGAUGGAUCCGCGCCGCAUUAGCUAGUUGGUAAGGUAACGGCUUACCAAGGCAACGAUGCGUAGCCGACCUGAGAGGGUGAUCGGCCACACUGGAACUGAGACACGGUCCAGACUCCUACGGGAGGCAGCAGUAGGGAAUCUUCCGCAAUGGGCGAAAGCCUGACGGAGCAACGCCGCGUGAGUGAUGAAGGUCUUCGGAUCGUAAAACUCUGUUAUUAGGGAAGAACAAAUGUGUAAGUAACUAUGCACGUCUUGACGGUACCUAAUCAGAAAGCCACGGCUAACUACGUG
rnacentral:rRNA from 1 species